GGUAAUAGUUGGCAUAGCCCAUUGUUGGCAUAUUUUACAACAAUACUACAACUGCCCUGUCCACUUGCAGGUAUAAAACUUUAAUUAACUACACUUAACACAGAAAACAGGCUGGACUAUUUUAUAUUAAUAUAGUCUAGUAGUUACUAGCGUGGAAGCUCAGUCUGUUUACAUACAGUUGAAGGAUCUUCUAGAUGGAAGUAAUUGAGUGAAAAUGCAUUAUUUUACAUUUAUUAGCUCUAUUAAACCAGGAGAUGCAACUGUAUUUGCUGUUUAUUUUUGGAUAUCUAGUCCAGAUGUAAAUAAUAUGUAUUAUAUAUCUGAUCUAAGAUCAGCAGGAACGUAGAGACAGGGGAGUGGGUGUGUGUGGGGGGGGGGUGUAAACUCCACAACUGUGAAACUCAGGUAAAGCUCAAGUAUAUUAUAAAUUUUGACAUUCUCAGGUAAACUUUGUGUAAAAGUCGUUAUUUUUGUAAAAUGAUGACCAUUUGACAUCCGACACCCCC
rnacentral:lncRNA from 1 species